AGUGAACGCUGGCGGUAGGCCUAACACAUGCAAGUCGAACGGCAGCACAGUAAGAGCUUGCUCUUACGGGUGGCGAGUGGCGGACGGGUGAGGAAUACAUCGGAAUCUACUUUUUCGUGGGGGAUAACGUAGGGAAACUUACGCUAAUACCGCAUACGACCUACGGGUGAAAGCAGGGGAUCUUCGGACCUUGCGCGAUUGAAUGAGCCGAUGUCGGAUUAGCUAGUUGGCGGGGUAAAGGCCCACCAAGGCGACGAUCCGUAGCUGGUCUGAGAGGAUGAUCAGCCACACUGGAACUGAGACACGGUCCAGACUCCUACGGGAGGCAGCAGUGGGGAAUAUUGGACAAUGGGCGCAAGCCUGAUCCAGCCAUACUGCGUGGGUGAAGAAGGCCUUCGGGUUGUAAAGCCCUUUUGUUGGGAAAGAAAAGCAGCAGGUUAAUAUCCCGCUGUUCUGACGGUACCCAAAGAAUAAGCACCGGCUAACUUCGUG
rnacentral:rRNA from 1 species